rnacentral:rRNA from 1 species
CCCUACGGGGCGCAGCAGGCGCGAAAGCUUUACAAUGCGAGAAAUCGUGAUAAGGGAACCCCGAGUGCCCGUAAAUUCGGGCUGUUAAUCUGUGUAAAAAGCAGGUGGGGAAAGGGCCGGGCAAGACCGGUGCCAGCCGCCGCGGUAAUACCGGCGGCUCGAGUGGUGGCCACUAUUACUGGGCUUAAAGCGUCCGUAGCUGGAUUGUUAAGUCUCUUGGGAAAUCUACCGGCUUAACCGAUAGGCGUUCAAGGGAUACUGGCAAUCUAGGGACCGGGAGAGGUGAGAGGUACUCCAGGGGUAGGAGUGAAAUCCUGUAAUCC